ACCAGAAAACUAAAAGACCAGACGGGACCAACUUGUACAUAACAAUUUUGCCGCUACAAUUCAGUGGCAGUUUGAAGGACUUGAACAGAUAUCAGAUUUCAAAGUUUAACCUAAAAUUAAGAUAUAAUCACAUUAAUUAACCAGACGCAAUUAAUUUACCAGCAGAAGAGGCAAGACCGGAUUUAUC